rnacentral:lncRNA from 12 species
AUGCACACGUUUCUCCCCCAGGCUGUGGCUGUGCCGCUGAGGGCCAGGGGAUGGGACACACCUCCAGCAUGGCCUGAGAAAUUCCUGAAUAUGUCAUCAGAAAUUGCUGGAUGUGACAGAUCACAGGCUUCUUCAGCCAGAGACGGUGCACUUGUGCACAGCCCUUCCCUGGUCAUGGGCUGUCCCUUGGAGGGUUCUCUCACAGCUGCCAGAGGAGAGGAUAGCCUUGUGUGCCAUUUACUGCAGUGUGUACCAAGCAUUUAG